CCCUUAGAUGUCCUGGGCCGCACGCGCGUUACACUGAUGCAUUCAACGAGCUUAUAACCUUGGCCGAGAGGCCUUGGCAAUCUUGUUAACGUGCAUCGUGAUAGGGAUAGAUUAUUGAAAUUAUUAAUCUUGAACGAGGAAUUCCUAGUAAACGCAGAUCAUCAAUCUGCAUUGAUUACGUCCCUGCCCUUUGUACACACCGCCCGUCGCACCUACCGAUUGGAUGGUCCGGUGAAGCCUCGGGAUUGUGGUUCUUGCCGCUUUAUUGUGGCGUGACCGCGAGAACUUGUCUAAACCUUAUCAUCUAGAGGAAGGUGAAGUCGUAACA
rnacentral:rRNA from 1 species